CCUACGGGGUGCAGCAGUGAGGAAUAUUGGUCAAUGGACGGAAGUCUGAACCAGCCAUGCCGCGUGCAGGAAGACGGCUCUAUGAGUUGUAAACUGCUUUUGUACAAGGGUAAACCUGAAUACGUGUAUUCAGCUGAAAGUACUGUACGAAUAAGGAUCGGCUAACUCCGUGCCAGCAGCCGCGGUAAUACGGAGGAUCCAAGCGUUAUACGGAUUUAUUGGGUUUAAAGGGUGCGUAGGCGGAUUGAUAAGUUAGAGGUGAAAUGUCCGGGCUUAACUCGGGAACUGCCUCUAAUACUGUUGGUCUAGCGAGGAGAUGCGGUAGGGGGGAUGUAUGGUGUAGCGGUGAAAUGCUUAGAGAUCAUACAGAACACCGAUUGCGGAGGCAGCUUACCAAUCUAUAUCUGACGUUGAGGCACGAAAGCGUGGGGAGCAAACAGGAUUAGAUACCCUUGUAGUC
rnacentral:rRNA from 1 species